UACAGAGGUCCCAAGCGUUGUUCGGAUUCACUGGGCGUAAAGGGUGCGCAGGUGGGUUGGCAAGUUUGAUGUGAAAGCCCCGGGCUUAACCCGGGAAUGGCAUUGAAUACUGCUGAUCUGGAGGAUUGGAGGGGGGACUGGAAUUCUUGGUGUAGCAGUGAAAUGCGUAGAUAUCAAGAGGAACACCAGUGGCGAAGGCGAGUCCCUGGACAAUUCCUGACACUGAGGCACGAAAGCUAGGGGAGCAAACAGG
rnacentral:rRNA from 1 species